GAUUUGUUCCGUUGCCAGUGGCCAUAAGUGGAAGAUCCGCUUUUGAACUGGAAAACCACUCAAACCUUUUGAAGUUCGUCCUCAGCAAAGUCCAAUCAGAGGAAAUGUGUUCGCUAACUGUGGCCAGCUGAACAGAAGGCAUUGAGAGAGAAACAGCCAGGUCCCAAGAGGAUCCUCUGCAUAGACUGGAGGGAAGAGGCAGCUGAGUGUAGACACACAAUGAUGCUGGGCACCCCAGUGAAUGCUCUGUGCCCGGACGGAUUCGAUGGAUAUUUCUUCCUGCGGUGGAAUGGGGUGGUUGUGAGAUUUCUUGGAUGAAAUUGAUUCUCUUUGAGCCUCUCACCCCGAAUGCAGC